rnacentral:rRNA from 1 species
CUACGGGGGGCUCCAGUGAGGAAUAUUGGUCAAUGGGCGCGAGCCUGAACCAGCCAUCCCGCGUGCAGGAUGACGGCCCUAUGGGUUGUAAACUGCUUUUCUAUGCCAAGAAACCUGAUUACGUGUAAUCAGUUGCCGGUAGCAUAGGAAUAAGCAUCGGCUAACUCCGUGCCAGCAGCCGCGGUAAUACGGAGGAUGCAAGCGUAUCCGGAUUCAUUGGGUUUAAAGGGUGCGCAGGUGGGCUUGUAAGUCAGUGGUGAAAUGAUGCCGCUUAACGGUAGAACUGCCAUUGAUACUGCGAGUCUUGAGUAUGGUUGAGGUAGGCGGAAUGUGUUGUGUAGCGGUGAAAUGCAUAGAUAUGACACAGAACGCCAAUUGCGAAGGCAGCUUACUAAGCCAUUACUGACGCUGAGGCACGAAAGCGUGGGGAGCGAACAGGAUUAGAUACCCGCGUAGUC